CAUUGAUAUAUCAUUUCAUAUGAAUUGUAUGUCAACUACAUACUAGCACUAGUAGAAAAUACAAAAAGGCAACCCCCAAAAGGCACCGGUUCAGGCCAAACCGGUGCCAAAUACCUGCCUAAAAAUGGGCGGAAUUUCAGACCAAGAGAAAUGGCACCGGUUCAACACAAACCGGUGCCAAAAAUACAAAGGGCACCGGUUUGAACUGGUGCUACUAAACCGGUUCACCUACAUAAUUAAAAAAAAAAACCGCCCCAUAUAUAACCCUAACUCUCCCUCACUCCCUCAGCCGCUCCUCCUUCUCUUUCUCUCUCCUUCUCUCUCCUCCUUCUAUCUUUCUUCUCUAUUCGAGAUUUCAUCUCCUUCUCUCAUCUCCUUCUCUUAUCUCCUUCUCACUCGUUUCCACCACCAAAGGCCACCACCAAGACCAACACCCAAGACCACCAAGAACACCGAUUCUAGGUAUACAUAAUCCAAGAAUCAAGAAUCAAGAAUAAAGAAUAUGGGGAUUUUUAGAUUGUGAUGUUGUAAUAAUUUUUUUUUUUAUUUAUAUUGCAGUUUUUUUUUUUAUUUAUAUGUUGUAAUUUUUUUUGAUUUAUAAGUAAUUUUUUUUAUUGAUCUAGGUUGUAAAAUUUUAUUGAUUAUAUAUUAAACAGAAUCGUUUAUAUUGA